rnacentral:rRNA from 1 species
CUCGUAGGCGGCCAACUAAGUCGGACGUGAAAUCCCUCGGCUUAACAGGGGAACUGCGUCCGAUACUGGAUGGCUUGAGUUCGGGAGAGGGAUGCGGAAUUCCAGGUGUAGCGGUGAAAUGCGUAGAUAUCUGGAGGAACACCGGUGGCGAAGGCGGCAUCCUGGACCGACACUGACGCUGAGGAGCGAAAGCCAGGGGGAGCAAAACGG